rnacentral:lncRNA from 1 species
UGUCCAGUUGAUGGGCUGGAUGCCCGCGACAACCUCACUGAAGAGAGGGGUGGCCCAAUUGAAGAUCUGGUACCGAUCCCUUUGAACGACGGGAAUGCGGAGCAUGUGGCGAUGAUCGGCUCCAACCUGGGGGAAGAGGUGCGGAUGCAUCUCAUUGAUUUUUUAUGAAAGAAUGAGAACAUUUUCACUUGGGUUCCAGUGGACA